UACGAAGGGGGCUAGCGUUGUUCGGAUUUACUGGGCGUAAAGCGCACGUAGGUGGAUUGUUAAGUGAGAGGUGAAAUCCCAAGGCUCAACCUUGGAACUGCCUUUCAUACUGGCAAUCUCGAGUUCGGAAGAGGUGAGUGGAAUUCCUAGUGUAGAGGUGAAAUUCGUAGAUAUUAGGAAGAACACCGGUGGCGAAGGCGGCUCACUGGUCCGAUACUGACACUGAGGUGCGAAAGCGUGGGGAGCAAACAGG
rnacentral:rRNA from 1 species